rnacentral:rRNA from 1 species
UGAGGAAUAUUGGUCAAUGGGCGAGAGCCUGAACCAGCCAAGUAGCGUGAAGGAUGAAGGUCCUAUGGAUUGUAAACUUCUUUUAUAGUAGAAUAAAGUGAGCCACGUGUGGUUUUUUGUAUGUAUACUAUGAAUAAGGAUCGGCUAACUCCGUGCCAGCAGCCGCGGUAAUACGGAGGAUCCGAGCGUUAUCCGGAUUUAUUGGGUUUAAAGGGUGCGUAGGCGGAAUGAUAAGUCAGUUGUGAAAGUUUGCGGCUCAACCGUAAAAUUGCAUUUGAUACUGUCAUUCUUGAGUGUACAUAAGGUAGGCGGAAUUCGUGGUGUAGCGGUGAAAUGCUUAGAUAUCACGGAGAACUCCAAUUGCGAAGGCAGCUUACCGGGGUACAACUGACGCUGAGGCACGAAAGUGUGGGUAUCAAACAGG